rnacentral:lncRNA from 1 species
AUAGGCUGUGGAUCCUUCACGGUCUCGUUUUGUGUAAAUUGGCGCCUUGCUUUGGGUUUACAGAUCCGGCCGUUGGUGAACUUGCCUGGGGAAUAAUUGUUGACUCAGGGUAGGUACUGGUUGAUGCAUUUGGGAGAUUUUAUUUUGGAACUCAUUAGAUUACUGCAUUCAUUCAUUUAUUCUUGCCAAGUUUUCAUUUUAUCCCACAUGCACUAUUCUAACACACGUGAAUAAAAGACACAACUAUCCCAUCGUCUUUUAUAAUCUAUUGACCUGAUUUUUAAUUUUUUGUGUGUGCUUCUAAUCUUUGCUCAAACUCACACAUUUGAAGUAGUUAUAAUCACGUUAUUGAUAUGGCCCUUCUUUUCAAAAUCAUAUUUUUAUAAACAUUUUGCAUUUUGCUAAUUUCUAUACUCUAAUUUUAAAUGGCCCUGUAAUUGUGAUUUAUUUUAAUGGUCACAGUAUUCUUAAAAUUCCCUUAUUUCUGAUUAUUCAGUUUUUCUCCUGUGGGAAUGUGUGUCAAAGGGUUUGAAUAUUUUUAUUAUACAUGGUCUCUAUUUUCAGGUCACUUUCCAUUUUUAUUAUAGCUGUGCCAAGGUAAAAGCCUUCCCUGAAUUGUCACUUUUGGUUUGCAUUUCUUUAUUAGUGAGGUUUCUUUAUUAAUUAUAUUUCUUCUUCUGAAUUGGCCUGUCAUCUUUUCUAAUUUAUUUUCUACUUAUUUAAAAAAAAUAAAUUUCUGUGAGCUCUUUAUAUAAAUAUUAAUUCCUGUUACUUAUACUUGGUUCUAACAUUUCUCAAUGUGAUUUUAUUUUGUUUUGCUUAGUUUUAUCUAGUUUGUCUAUUUCUUAUUAGGGUUUUUUUUUUUUUUUUUUUUUUUUGCCACAUGAAAAGUUCCUUAGGCUAGGGAUCGAACCCUGAGGUUCUUUGAUUAUCAUUGUCCAUGUUGCUUCUCCAUCAACCAUCAAGUGUGUUGGAUUUUCAUAGACUUAGAUAUUCUAGAAUCAUGGAAUGAUCGCGGUAGAGGGGAAUUUUCAGCUUCUAUUUUUAAUAUUUAGAGGAUCUAACAAGUAAUAUUUGUUAUAUCUACAGAUAAAUGUAGACUUACAGAUGGAGAUUUUAGAAUGUAGAUGAAAAUUACAUUUAAGACUUGAAUGCAGCAAAGCUGGCUGGUAAGUUAAGAAAUGUAUUUAACUUCAGGUUUAAUAAAAAUUUUUUCUUAUAUUUAUAAAAUACUUUAAAAAAUUUGUAUUUAGAAAUCAAAUUUUCCAUGUAUUUUUAAGCAUUUUAAGUGUCUUAUGUUUUUAAGCAUAAUUAAGGGUCUUAAUUUUAAAAUGAAAAUAUAAUUUCUGAAAUAUGGCUUCAAAUCAUUGGCCUUUUGUAAAAAUCACUUUAUCUCCCCCUUAUUGAUUAUCUGAAUGGUGCCAUGUUGUUGGUUUUUCUCCUGCAUCUCGGAUUCUAUUAUGUAACUGGGAUAUACUUUUGGAAUUUAUAAAGCAUUUCAGCAUUUUCUUUUUAUUAGUUUAAGUGAUCCUAUCAUCAUUUAAAAAAACCUUAGUUACCUGAUAAGUAUUUAUUUUAUUAGUAGUUGAGCAGUAUAUUUCUCAACUGAUUUAGAGAUAGGAGUUCAGUAUAUCUUCCAGUAUUUCAAACAAGGAGGAAGAAAGAAUUUAAAAAGCUAGUGAAAAGUUGUUUCCUUUAAGUAAUUUUAGAAGAUAAAUCAUCAUAUCAAAGAUAUUAUACAAUAAAUGGGCAAACAAAAUCACCAAAACAGUAAGCUGGUUUUAAUAAAUCACAGAGAGUCAUACCAGAAAUGUGCUUAUGACACAUCAGCCUGCUCUUAUCCCAGGUUGGUAGGUAUGAAAACCACAGUUUGUGCAUGCUUACUUAGCUGAUACAUAGUGGUGUGGGACGUGAAAUUGAGCCCAUGCAAUUGGAAAGGCUAAGAAUGAAGUUUGGGGCAAGUUAGGAUUGACAGAUGAGAACGGAUGGAUUACAAACUAUUCUUACAGAAUGUUAUAAGUUCAGUUUUACAUUUGUAAUAUCUUCAGCCUUGGUAGAGAUGUGCUUGUAUGUGGGAUUUUCUUUUCUUUUCUUUUCUUUUCUUUUUUUUUGUCUUUUUGCCUUUUCUAGGGCUGGCAACGCAGCACAUAGAGGUUCCCAGGCUAGGGGUGGAAUUGAUGCUGUAGCCGCCAGCCUACACCACAGCCGCAGCCACUCAGGAUCUGAGCUGCGUCUGCGAGCUACACCACAGCUCAUGGCAACGCCGGAUCCUUAACCCACUGAACAAGGCCAGGGAUCGAACCCGCAACCUCAUGCUUCCUAGUUGGAUUCGUUAAUCACUGCGCCAUGAUGGGAACUCCUGGGAUUUUCUUUUUCUUUGGGGGGUGAGAAAGGGCAAUCGGUUUCAUUGAGUUGCCUUAUUUUCAUUCAGAAAGGAGAUAGGAACUAAUAUCCAUAGCAAGUUACUGUUUAGACCUGAGUACACUAAGGGAAAUUUAUCAGUGCUGAUAGUGUUUGGGAUGAAAUAUAACAUUCAUCUCUGAUCUUGCACCUACUGUAUUUUCUGUAUGUUUCAUUUUUGUCGUUUCAAGUUUGCUGUCCUGUUGCUCAUGCUGAACAGCAGGAUGUAUAGAAACAUACCUAAUGUAUUGAAGGAAAGUAUAUGUGACACUGUGACCUUCUGACUCUAGCAUUGCUUCCAAACAUUAAUUACUGAGUUUUCCAUGAGAUGGCUUUUAAGAGGAAUCAAAAGGGCUCUCUGGCAUAAAAGGGAUUGAUAAAUCAUAUUUAGGGAUGAUUAGUAUAAUAGAGGAGAAACAAAAGUAGGCAAUGUGUCUUAGACUUAUCUGUAUCAUUUCCUACUUCUUCAUGUGGAAGUACUUGUAGAAUAGACUAGUUGAAAUCCAGCCAGGGUGAAUUGAGAUGGCGUAAGUCGAAUCACUGCUAGAAGCUCACGUUUUGUAUCCAUAUAAGCUCCUAUGUUUAUAUUUAGUCUUGACUCAGCUUGUACAUCUUGCUCCGUUCCUUCCUCUGCCCUCAUCCCCCAACACCUGGCUGCCAUUCUCUCUCCUUAUAACAAAAUGACCCAUCAGUGUUAGGACACUCUCCGUGAAAGAAAGCCUCAGAGGUUGCUCUAAAGUAGCAAAUUGUCCGAGAUAUACUUUAGUUUUAGCUGUUUUUGACUCUGUUUGGGUGGAAUAAUCAGCAAGAACACAAGAGAGGGGUGAAAUAGAUGAGAGAGAGGAAUAUUGUCGGUGGCGAGAAGGCAUUGCUGGUGACAACACUUUCUUAAAAAUGGUUCCUGUGGUGUGUGUGUUGGGAAGGAUGGGUGUGUAUGGGUGGCGGGGUCACUUUAUUGUACAUCGGAAAUGGAAGGAACAUUGUAAAUCAACUAUACUUUAAUAAAAAAUUAAAAAAAGAAAGAUUCCCAAAGAGUACCACCACAGUGGCAGUUUCACCUUCUGUUUUGUUCUCUUGAUAUCAAUUAAGAGGUAUAUUAGGUAUCAGAAUCAGUAUAUGAAUAAAUAGGAAUCACUUAAUCUUUUGCACUGGGUGUUGAGACUGCAUAUAAGUGAAAUCUUUGAGUCUUGAUACUCUACAUAAAUGAAGUACUUUGCUUUAUUUCAGAACUUCUUGUGUUUAUUCUUGACAGGAAUGCUCCUGAGCCUAUGAAUUAUUAUUAUUCUUUUACUAAGUGUCAUAGGCUUAACUUAGUAAAUAAUUGUUUAAAUUAUAUAUUCAAUCAACAGCAAGGACAGAUCUCUUGAAAGGGUUUUCUGGCCUGAAAAAAGUUAUAUUUUCACAUCAAGGUUUGAAUUGUCUUCAGUGGGUGAUUACAGCCCAUGUUGGGAGUACAGUGCUUAUGGUUCAAUAGCCUAGAGUUACAUCUUAUGCUUGGGUGAUGUUGUGUUGUACAGUAGUAAUUCUGUAAAUUAUUUACAAUAAAGGGGGAAACACUGGAGAAAAGAUCUGUGUACUGCUCCAUUUUUACAACAAGGGAAUACUGUUAAAGUUUCAAAGUAGCUUCAAUAGUUCAAUACUUGAACUAUUCCAUCCCUACUCCCCCCCCAACAUCCUGUUUCAUCACAAAUAUUUAUCAUUUUAUUCAUCGGCCCUCCACCCGCCUUGUGGGCUGUUGUGGCUGCUGUCAUGUAGCCAAGAGGCUGGGGAAUGCCUAUCUACAAGCAGCAUGGGGCAUUUUGCUAGGGGGGUCACCAGGUCCUGCAAUUGGCUAACACUGAACCGUCGGUGCUGUUGUGCCAUUGAAAUCUAUGGAAAGUCAGCCUAUUUAAAUAACUGCCAGGAUCACCAAUAACAGGCACAUUGUUGCUACUCAUAGUGAAAAUAUACAUACUAUUCCUGGUAAGAAAAAAAACCUGAAGUCUACAGCAGUUGGAGAUGUCAUUCUGAUGUGUUACGGAAGCACUAAAGUUAAAGAUAAAGAAAAAUUACCAUUUAAACAAAAUUGCGACCUAAGAAGGCUGGUCUGUUUGAGUGCUUGGUUAAUGUUUAAAGAAUUGUCUGGUUUUCCUGAAAAGUUCGUUCGGUAUUAAUUGGUGACUCACUUUUAAAAUACGUAAUAUAAUCGAACAUAAGAUGUAAGACCUUAUAAAAUAACAUAACAUAGUGUUCCAUGACGUACUCCACUUGCUUCAGAAGGGAUGAGUGUUUUUGAAGAGUGUGGGGCAGGAGUCAUGUAGACUGGAGUUAUGGGUUUUGUGAAAGAAGACCACAGAAGGUGCAUUCUAUUAUUGGUGUGUCCUGUUGGCAUAACUGAUCCUUGGUGACGUUAACCUUGAUCACUUGGUUAAGAUCGCAUCUGCUGGAUUUUCCGCUGUCAAGUUGCGGCUUUUCUCUUUCCAUAGUCUAUUCUUUGGCAGUCAGCCCACACUUAAGGGAGAACAAUUCAGCUUUACCCCUUGGAGGGAGGAGUAUCUGCAUGAGUUAUUCAAAUAAUCAAUAAUUCACUGUUUACAUACUUAUUGUAUCCUUUGGGUUAUCACCCAGUGCCAACCACUCUUUAUUUUGCAGCUCAUAAGCUAAUUUUAAACUUUUUACAUUUUAUUUGGCUCAGCUAUCUGGCCAUCGCCCACCUUUUGGGCCCCUCCCACCUCCACAGGUUUAUGUUCUUUCUCCAAACCAAUAACUUCAGUUCUGCUGCUCUGGUUAGCGUGUAAGGUCAUUGUCAUAGUCAAGGCUUAAUUUAUGCGCUGUGGGAGGAGAAGUCAUAAUAUGAAACUUCUUGUCAGCAGAUUGGCGAACUUACCUGAGAAAUUGAGACUCAAGAUUGUGAGAAUGUGUGACUAGGACCGAAAGCAGAUCUCCAGGUAGGAAAUCAAAAUGACUUUCUUGAAUACCUUUGCACUUAAUUUUGUAGAAGUCAAAUCAACCCUUUCUUGUAAGAUGCAAAAUCCCGAAAGGAGGGGGUGGUGUAAAUAUUGAGGUUACAUUCGCAAAUCACGUUGUGGUCCUUUUUUAGAUUCUUUUAUUUGACUUUUAAAUAAUAAGAUAAUAGCUGAGUUUUGCAGUGAACCCCAAGGGGAACUUGCUGAAGUGUAUCUGUAUUUGCCCAAGUAUUAUAGAUAGGAUUUUGAUUGUGGAGACCUAUUGAGAAGUGCCCAUCGGCGUAUAAAUAAGAUUCCGUUAUAUCGUGUCAGAGAAAACAGCUACUGGUUACAAGAUGUUUUAUGUGUUUCACAGAAUAUUUACUAACUGUGGAUUGAUUUCUAUUUUGCAUUUCUUAUCACCUGUCCUGAGAUGCAAUAAGGUCAUAAACUCUGUUAGAAGGGAGGGACCCGGGGCAAGGAAGCUCCCAGAUCGCACAUGUGCCCUGCAUACUGAUAUUACAGAAACAGGAAUCAGUGUGCCUGCAGCUUCCACUGUGG